CCCUACGGGGGGCAGCAGUGGGGGAUAUUGCACAAUGGGGGGAACCCUGAUGCAGCGACGCCGCGUGGGUGAAGGAGCGUUUCGGCGCGUAAAGCCCUAUCGGCAGGGAAGAAAGAGGACGGUACCUGACUAAGAAGCCCCGGCUAACUACGUGCCAGCAGCCGCGGUAAUACGUAGGGGGCAAGCGUUAUCCGGAUUUACUGGGUGUAAAGGGGGCGCAGACGGCUACGCAAGCCUG
rnacentral:rRNA from 1 species